GAUGAACGCUGACAGAAUGCUUAACACAUGCAAGUCUUUGGCGAAGCUGUGCUUGCACAGCCUAGCCAAGGCGGACGGGUGAGUAACGCGUAAGGAACUUGCCCUGCAGUCAGGGAUAACAGACGGAAACGACUGAUAAGACCUGGUAAAGUCAGGCGGACUCAUGUCCAGCCUGAUGAAAAGAGAUGCUGCAGGAGAGCCUUGCGUCCUAUUAGCUUGUUGGUGGGGUAACGGCCCACCAAGGCGAUGAUAGGUAGCCGGCCUGAGAGGGUGGACGGCCACAAGGGGACUGAGAUACGGCCCUUACUCCUACGGGAGGCAGCAGUGGGGAAUAUUGGACAAUGGGGGCAACCCUGACCCAGCAAUUCUGUGUGCACGAUGAAGGUUUUCGGAGUGUAAAGUGCUUUCAGCAGGGAAGAAAAAAAUGACGGUACCUGCAGAAGAAGCGACGGCUAAAUACGUG
rnacentral:rRNA from 1 species